rnacentral:rRNA from 1 species
GAUGAACGCUGGCGGCGUGCCUAAUACAUGCAAGUCGAGCGAACAGACGAGGAGCUUGUUCCUUUGACGUUAGCGGCGGACGGGUGAGUCACACGUGCAUACCCUACCUAUCAGACUGGGAUACCUUCGGGACACCGGCGCUAAUACCGUAUAACAUGUUGAACCGCAUGGUUCAUCAGUGAAAGACGGUCUUUCUGUCUCUUAUCGCUGGAUCCGCGCCGCAUUAGCUAGUUGGUAAGGUAACGGCUUACCAAGGCAACGAUGCGUAGACGACCUGAGAGGGUGAUCGGCCACACGGGAACUGAGACACGGUCCAGAGUCCUACGGGAGGGAGCAGAAGGGAAUCUUACGCAAUGGGCGAAAGCCUGGCGGAGCAAGGGCGCGUGAGUGAAGAAGGUGUUCGGUUCGGAAAGCUCGGUUAUGAGGGAAGAACAAAUGUGUAAGGAACUAUGCACAUAUUGACGGUACCUGAUCAGAAAGCCACGGCUAACUACGUG